rnacentral:rRNA from 1 species
GACGAACGCUGGCGGCGUGCUUAACACAUGCAAGUCGAACGGAAAGGCCCUGCUUGCAGGGUGCUCGAGUGGCGAACGGGUGAGUAACACGUGGGUGAUCUGCCCCUUACUUUGGGAUAAGCCUGGGAAACUGGGUCUAAUACUGGAUAGGACCAUGCUGUAGGUGGUGUGGUGGAAAGAUUAGUUUCGGUAAGGGAUGAGCUCGCGGCCUAUCAGCUUGUUGGUGGGGUAAUGGCCUACCAAGGCGUCGACGGGUAGCCGGCCUGAGAGGGUGGACGGCCACGUUGGGACUGAGAUGCGGCCCAGACUCCUACGGGAGGCAGCAGUGGGGAAUAUUGCACAAUGGGCGCAAGCCUGCUGCAGCGACGCCGCGUGGGGGAUGACGGCCUUCGGGUUGUAAACUCCUUUCAGCCAUGACGAAGCCCUUGUGGUGACGGUAGUGGUAGAAGAAGCACCGGCUAACUACGUG